UACAGAGGUCUCAAGCGUUGUUUCGGAUUCAUUGGGGCGUAAAGGGUGCGUAGGUGGCGCGCUAAGUCAGGUGUGAAAUCUCGGGGCUCAACUCCGAAACUGCAUUUGAUACUGGCGUGCUUGAGGACUGGAGAGGAGACGUGGAAUUUAACGGUGUAGCAGUGAAAUGCGUAGAUAUCGUAAGGAAGACCAGUGGCGAAGGCGGGUCUCUGGA
rnacentral:rRNA from 1 species